CUCGGGAAUGACCUAGCUGGCCAGGCGGUAGGUGGCGCACUCUUCCCAGUGGUAACAGACAAUCUGCACAAGUGUGAAGACGAAGUGGGGUGGAAGAAAGCCGGAGCUAAAGGAGGUGCUGAACAGAAGGUGACAUGAUGAGUGAGGCGGUAUGAUGGGCCUGAUGGUGGAGGGAACAAUUAAUAAAACUUGUUGUUGUGUAAAAAAAUGAAUUGUAUGAAUUGUGUAAAAUAUGAUUUGGCCAUGCCGCCACCUAUUGGUGACGUCUUUUGGGGGGGGGCGUGUCACGCCUGGCGCCCGCCCUGUGUUUUUUCACCUUUUUUCUUAUAUUCAUUUGAGCAGGUAAUCUCUUGACGCCAUUCGUGGAAGCCAGCGAUCACCUUUAAUUGCUUCCAGCUGGGAGGCGGGGCCGCGGAUUGCUUAACCGUGGUCAGCUGGGAUCAUGCUUUUUAAAAAGGCUGCGAGUUCUACCAGCUGGAGCUCUCUCUUCAUUUUCACCAGCUUGCCUUUUUUUUGACUCACCAGCGUAGUAGCUUGCCAGCUUGUCAAUUUGCCAACUCACUGCACUGCACAUUUUGGCAUUCCCAGCCAGUUCUUUGUUUGUAACUGUUUGUUUUUGCGUAAUAAAUUCUUAUUAUUCCUUCA